AUUACCAUGCAGUCGAGCGGUAACAGAGAGAAGCUUGCUUCUCUGCUGACGAGCGGCGGACGGGUGAGUAAUGCUUGGGAAUAUGCCUUUAGGUGGGGGACAACAGUUGGAAACGACUGCUAAUACCGCAUAAUGUCUACGGACCAAAGAGGGGGACCUUCGGGCCUCUUGCCUUUAGAUUAGCCCAAGUGAGAUUAGCUAGAUGGUGGGGUAAUGGCUCACCAUGGCGACGAUCUCUAGCUGGUUUGAGAGGAUGAUCAGCCACACUGGGACUGAGACACGGCCCAGACUCCUACGGGAGGCAGCAGUGGGGAAUAUUGCACAAUGGGCGAAAGCCUGAUGCAGCCAUGCCGCGUGUGUGAAGAAGGCCUUCGGGUUGUAAAGCACUUUCAGUCGUGAGGAAAGGGUGUGUAUUAAUACUACACAUCUGUGACGUUAGCGACAGAAGAAGGACCGGCUAACUCCGUGCCAGCAGCCGCGGUAAUACGGAGGGUCCGAGCGUUAAUCGGAAUUACUGGGCGUAAAGCGUGCGUAGGCGGAUUGUUAAGUCAGAUGUGAAAUCCCGGGGCUCAACCUCGGAACUGCAUUUGAAACUGGCUGUCUAGAGUAUUGUAGAGGGUGGUGGAAUUUCCAGUGUAGCGGUGAAAUGCGUAGAGAUUGGAAGGAACAUCAGUGGCGAAGGCGGCCACCUGGACAAAUACUGACGCUGAGGCACGAAAGCGUGGGGAGCAAACAGGAUUAGAUACCCUGGUAGUCCACGCCGUAAACGAUGUCAACUAGCUGUCUGUGUUCUUGAAACGUGGGUAGCGUAGCUAACGCGCUAAGUUGACCGCCUGGGGAGUACGGCCGCAAGGUUAAAACUCAAAUGAAUUGACGGGGGCCCGCACAAGCGGUGGAGCAUGUGGUUUAAUUCGAUGCAACGCGAAGAACCCUUACCAUCCCUUGACAUCCACAGAAUUUCUAGAGAUAGAUUAUGCCUUCGGGAACUGUGAGACAGUGCUGCAUGGCUGUCGUCAGCUCGUGUUGUGAAUGUGGUAGGUCCGCACGAGCGCAACCCUAUCCUUAUUGCCAGCGAGUCUGUCGGACUUAGAGACUGCCGUGAUACCGAGA
rnacentral:rRNA from 1 species